rnacentral:lncRNA from 1 species
GAAGAACAAAAGUCUGUUUCUGGUCGACAAAACAAUCAAAUGAGUUCUAAAAAUAAAUAAUAUUUAAUGAUUGGUAUAAUAUUAAUUAUAUUUGCUAAUAACAGGUGGGAAUAAACAAAUAAAAUGAUAAAAAAAAUAGAAGCUACAAGAAUUACUAAAAAUAAAGCUACGUCAACAAUGGUAUCAUGAGAACGAAAAUUAAAAAUAAAGCUACGUCAACAAUGAAUAACCGAGUAUUGUUUCUAUGGGUUCUGUAACCUCAUAAAUAUCGUGUAAACUAUGCAUUCUUGCAGGUGCUUCCUCUGAGUUGUUGGUAUUGCUGGUGGUUGGUGAUGAUGAUGUUGUAGGAGUUGUUGCAACAGGACUUGGAGGAGGGCUUUGAUCGUUGCCUUGUUCUUGAUUAAUGAAGUCGUCGUCUUUGUCAUCACUAAAAAAUAAUCCUUCAAUUUUCUUCUCUUUUUCACUCUAUCUCGAGUAAUCAGCUUCAUCGAAUUCAACAUCUCUUGAAAUAAUAACUUUCUUGGUGAGGGGGUUGUAUAACCUAUAUGCCUUGCUUCUCUUUUCAUAACCAAUGAAAAUACAUUUUAGUCCUUUAUCGUCAAGCUUCUUUCUCGUCUAGUCAAGAACAUGAGCAUAUGCGAUGCAUCCAAAAAUCUUGAGAUGUCCGACUCCUGGCUUUUUAUUGCUCCAAGCUUCGUUUGGCGUUUUAUAUUUCACACUUUUUGUUGGACACCAGUUCAACAAAUAAACAGCACAUUGAAUAGCUUCAGCCCAGAAAGUUCUUGGUAAAUGCUUACUUUUAACCAUACUUCUUGCCAUAUCAAGAAUAGUGCGGUUCUUUCUUUCAGCGACUCCAUUUUGUUGUGGUGUGUACGCAGUUGUCAACUGGUGAAUAAUUAUGUGUUCUUUACAGAAGCUUUCAAAUAGCUUUGAAGUAUACUCACCACCUCUAUCAGUUCUGAGUAUCUUAAUGAAAUGUUCACUCUAUUUUUCUACCAUGGCUUUGAACUCGAUAAACUUGUCAAAUGCUUCAGAUUUUAUUUUAAGAAGAUAUAUCCAACUUUUUCUACUAAAAUCAUCAAUAAAAGUAACAUAGUAUCUGUUUCCACAAGUGAUGAUAUAUCAAAAGGACCUGCUAUGUCAGAGUGCACAAUAUCCAAUGGUCUCCUGGCUUGUCGAGUUCUUCCCGUUUCAGAACUCUGUCUGUGUUGUUUUCCUUUAAUGCAAACUUCACACAGUUGGUCAGGAGGAUUAAUUUCUGGCAACCCAUUCACCAUAUUUUCUUUUGACAAUAGCUUUAGACCGAAAAAUCCAAGAUGCCUGAACCUUAAAUGCUACAACCAUGAAUUAUCUUUAAUUGCAUUCUUCAUACAUUUCACCUCUCCAAAUUCAAUGUCAAUAGUAAAUAGACGGUUAUACGUCAUAUCAACUUGGGCAAUUAAUUCACCACUCUUAUUUUUUAAGGCGAGCAUGGAAUCCUUCAUAUGUACUUCAUAUCCUUUUUUUAAAAGUUGUCUAAGGCUGAUAAUGUUGCUUUUCAAAGCUGGUACGUAAUAAACAUCUGAAAUUAACUUCUUUUCUCCAUUCUUUUAUGUAAUAGUGAUUUUGCCCGUGGCAUGCGAUUCAUCUCCAAACGUUACUUGUCCAUGAAUAUUCCCAUCUAACUCUGAAAAUAAGUCUUUUAGGCCACACAUGUGAUUGCUAGCGCAAUUAUCAAGAUACCAAAUAUUUUUUCUUGAUUUUUCACUUUCUUUAUAGGUGAGAAAUACACUAGAUUCCACAUUUUCUUCUUCUUUAGCUGUUGCUACAUGAUUUCUCUCCUCAAUCUUUGGAUUUGAUCUACACUGGUAACUACAAUGGCCAUAUUUAUUGCAAUUAUAACAUUGUACCUGAGAUUUAUUUCCUUGUUGAAAUCUACCUCUGCCUCCAUCUCGGCCUCGAGCUCCUUGUCCACGACUUGAUGUUUGAUAUUCGUCACUUAUGUGGACUUUACCAUGUGAUUGAUUGCCUCGUCCACCUCUAUUUCUGCCUCUAUAUCCUCCACGAUUGCUCGUACCUUGUCCAAAGUUAUCCCUAGCUCCACUUUUGUUGAAGGACAACUUACUUUGCAAGACUUGCUCCGGAUUUCCAGUAUCAUCAUUUUGCUUCAUUUUAUGCUCAUGGGCUUAGAGGGAACCCACAAGUUCGUCGAUUGAUAUUUGUGAUAAAUCUUUUGACUCUUCAAUGGCAACCACCACAUAAUCAAAUUUGCGUGUCAAUGACCGCAAAAUUUUUUCCAUUACUCUGACAUCAUCAAGUGUUUCUCCAUUCCUUUUUAUUUCAUUUACCACUGAUUUCACUCGAAUGACAUAAUUAUCAACGUUUUUCUGAAGGUUUCAUUUUUAAUGUCUCAAAUUCGGCUCUAAGGGUUUGUAAACGUACCUUUUUAGCCUUUCCCGCUCCUUAAAGGGUUUUUUGCAAAAUUCCCCAUGCUUCAUUUGAUGUCUUCGCAUCUGAAAUUUUUUCAAAGGUUGAUUCAUCAACGCCUUGAAAAAUAAAGAAUAGCGCCUCUUAUCCUUUUUACGAGCCUCUUUCAAUACUUUUUUUUAUUUGUCAAAGCCGCUUCAGCAGCUGCAUUUUCAAGCUCGACAUAUCCUUCUUCGACAACGUCCCAACGAUCUUGAGUACAGAGUAAAGCCUUCAUCUAGAUGCUGCAGUUGCCAUAAUUUGUCUUUGUUAAUUUUGGGAUCUGCAGUUAAAUCAUGUUUGCCAUUGUGACAUCAACACGAACCUAGCUCGGAUACCACUUGUUGGAAGCGUAAUAAUAAAAAUAACUCAAAUACGAAUUUUAUUACACACAAAUAAAAUACAAUGCAAACUCUAUUUUAUUUUAUUUUUUUCCUCUCUAUACUAGCUGCUGCUAGUUUUUCUUUCUAUACUCACAACACUUCUUUUUUUUUCUCUCAAACUCACUAAUUUUUUUCAGCACACACACAUGAACUAUACAUACAUAUAUAUAAACAUAGUCUAGUUACCUUAAUGAUUGCUUAU